AGAGUUUGAUCAUGGCUCAGGAUGAACGCUAGCUACAGGCUUAACACAUGCAAGUCGAGGGGCAGCAUGUUGGUUGCUUGCAACCAAUGAUGGCGACCGGCGCACGGGUGAGUAACGCGUAUCCAACCUACCCUUGUCCAUCGGAUAGCCCGUCGAAAGGCGGCCUAACACGAUAUGCGGUUCACAGCAGGCAUCUAACGUGAACGAAAUGUGAAGGAGAAGGAUGGGGAUGCGUCUGAUUAGCUUGUUGGCGGGGUAACGGCCACCAAGGCUACGAUCAGUAGGGGUUCUGACGAGGAAGGUCCCCCANAUUGGAACUGAGACACGGUCCAAACUCCUACGGGAGGCA
rnacentral:rRNA from 1 species